UGGGGAAUAUUGCACAAUGGGCGCAAGCCUGAUGCAGCCAUGCCGCGUGUGUGAAGAAGGCCUUCGGGUUGUAAAGCACUUUCAGCGAGGAGGAAGGGUUCAGUGUUAAUAGCACUGUGCAUUGACGUUACUCGCAGAAGAAGCACCGGCUAACUCCGUGCCAGCAGCCGCGGUAAUACGGAGGGUGCAAGCGUUAAUCGGAAUUACUGGGCGUAAAGCGCACGCAGGCGGUUUGUUAAGUCAGAUGUGAAAUCCCCGCGCUUAACGUGGGAACUGCAUUUGAAACUGGCAAGCUAGAGUCUUGUAGAGGGGGGUAGAAUUCCAGGUGUAGCGGUGAAAUGCGUAGAGAUCUGGAGGAAUACCGGUGGCGAAGGCGGCCCCCUGGACAAAAGACUGACGCUCAGGUGCGAAAGC
rnacentral:rRNA from 1 species